CCCUUAGAUGUUCUGGGCCGCACGCGUGCUACACUGAGUGGAUCAGCGGGUCAGGUUGCGCGAAAGUGUUUCCUAAUCUUUAAAUCCGCUCGUGAUGGGGAUUGACGGUUGCAAUUUUCCGUCAUGAACGAGGAAUACCUUGUAAGCGCGGGUCAUCAUCCCGCGCUGAAUACGUCCCUGCCCUUUGUACGCACCGCCCGUCGCUCCUAUCGAUUGAGUGGUCCGGUGAGGCUUUGGGAUCUGAGCGGAAAGAGCGUUUCGCUGUUUCUGCCCGGAAAACUCAGUCGAACCUUAUCAUUUAGAGGAAGGAGAAGUCGUAACA
rnacentral:rRNA from 1 species